GAAAUAUUAACUGUUUCAUUUGAAUUUUUUAUAGAAUUUUAUUUUUUAGUCAAAAAGCUAAAAUAAUUUUAAAAGACGAGAAGACCCUAUAAAUCUUUAUAUUUUAUUUAUUUUAAUUAUAAAGAUUAUUUUUGUUAUAAUAAAUAAAAAUAUUUUAUUGGGGUGAUAUUAAAAUUUAAAAAACUUUUAAUUUUAAAAUCCAUUAAUUUAUGAAUAAUUGAUCCAUUAAUAAUGAUUAAAAAUUUAAGUUACUUUAGGGAUAACAGCGUAAUUUUUUUGGAGAGUUCAUAUCGAUAAAAAAGAUUGCGACCUCGAUGUUGGAUUAAGAUAUAAUUUUGGGUGUAGCCGUUCAAAUUUUAAGUCUGUUCGACUUUUAAAUUCUU
rnacentral:rRNA from 1 species